rnacentral:rRNA from 1 species
UACAGAGGUCUCAAGCGUUGUUCGGAUUCAUUGGGCGUAAAGGGUGUGUAGGUGGCGCCGUAAGUCAGGUGUGAAAUUUCGGAGCUUAACUCCGAAACUGCAUUUGAUACUGCGGUGCUUGAGGACUGGAGAGGAGACUGGAAUUUACGGUGUAGCAGUGAAAUGCGUAGAUAUCGUAAGGAAGACCAGUGGCGAAGGCGGGUCUCUGGACAGUUCCUGACACUGAGACACGAAGGCCAGGGGAGCAAACGGG